rnacentral:lncRNA from 1 species
UGGAGACAACAAAUAAAACCAUUCUGCCAUUACAAAUAAGCGAAACAAAAUAGAAUAGAAAUGGAAAGCUAAUAUAAUGAAACAUAUAGUAACAAAUAAAACCCAAAAAAUCAACAAAGAACAUAAGCAGGUAAAGGUUAAGAAUCGACUAAGAUAAUAGACCACCUGAGGCUAAAAAGAAUCACACACCACUUAAAACUAGGCAACCAAAUUAGACCC